rnacentral:tRNA from 1 species
UACGCUUUAGUAUAAGAUGUAUAAGGAUUUUUGGUAUCCUGGGGAAUAGUUUAAUUCUAUUAAGCGUAA